CACCGUUGAUGGAAUCUGUGACAUGCAGUUAAAUGAAAGCAGAAAAGAACUGCUUAUGAAGAAAAGGAAUCGUUGCUAUACCUAUUAAAUGAUAAUGGCAGUGAUGCUGAUAUUAGUAUAACGUCUUCUACAUCAGGACCUAAAUUGCUGUCUCAACCAUGGAAAUGUUAUGAUAAAUCAAUAAUGCACCAGCAAAAGUUCAGAAUGAUGGAAGAAUAUGGGCAGAAAAAUCCAGUCACGAGCUGCAGAAGAAGGCAUUCGUGCUGUCAGACGGAAGCAAAAACGGUGAAGAAGUGGAGGUUGUUGAAACUUUUACAGAAUUUCCUAAGUUCGAUAUUCACCUUGGAUAAUAC